rnacentral:misc_RNA from 1 species
GAUGAAGAACGUAGCGAAAUGCGAUAAGUAGUGUGAAUUGCAGAAUUCAGUGAAUCAUCGAAUCUUUGAACGCACAUUGCGCCUCCUGGUAUUCCGGGAGGCAUGCCUGUUCGAGCGUCAUUAAAAUCACUCAAGCUUAGGUUUACCUAUUGCUUGGUCUUGGAGAUGGAAGCCAAUUCAUUGGAAUCCUCUUCGAAAUCCAAUGGCGAAGACCCUUGCUCUCCCAAGUGUAGUAAUAACUUAUGUCACAGAAGGAAGCGAGAAAUCUUCCGCCGUAACCCCCAUAUUUUCUAUGAUUGACCUCGGAUCAGGUAGGGAUACCCGCUGAACUUAAGCAUAUCAAUAAGCGGAGGA